rnacentral:rRNA from 1 species
GAUGAACGCUGGCGGCGUGCCUAAUACAUGCAAGUCGAGCGAACGGACGAGAAGCUUGCUUCUCUGAUGUUAGCGGCGGACGGGUGAGUAACACGUGGAUAACCUACCUAUAAGACUGGGAUAACUUCGGGAAACCGGAGCUAAUACCGGAUAAUAUUUUGAACCGCAUGGUUCAAAAGUGAAAGACGGUCUUGCUGUCACUUAUAGAUGGAUCCGCGCUGCAUUAGCUAGUUGGUAAGGUAACGGCUUACCAAGGCAACGAGGCAUAGCCGACGUGAGAGGGUGAUCGGCCACCCUGGAACUGAGACACGGUCCAGACUCCUAAGGGAGGCAGCAGUAGGGAAUCUUCCGCAAUGGGCGAAAGCCUGACGGAGCAACGCCGCGUGAGUGAUGAAGGUCUUCGGAUCGUAAAACUCUGUUAUUAGGGAAGAACAUAUGUGUAAGUAACUGUGCACAUAUUGACGGUACCUAAUCAGAAAGCCACGGCUAACUACGUG